rnacentral:rRNA from 1 species
UACGUAGGGUGCAAGCGUUGUCCGGAAUUAUUGGGCGAAGAGCUCGUAGGCGGUCUGUCGCGUCUGCUGUGAAAACUCGGGGCUUAACCCCGGGCCUGCAGUGGGUACGGGGCAGACUAGAGUGCGGUAGGGGAGACUGGAAUUCCUGGUGUAGCGGUGAAAUGCGCAGAUAUCAGGAGGAACACCGGUGGCGAAGGCGGGUCUCUGGGCCGGUAACUGACGCUGAGGAGCGAAAGCUGGGUAGCGAAGCAGG